rnacentral:tRNA from 1 species
GGAAAUGUGCCUGAAUGCCAAAGGGCCACUUUGAUAGAGUGGAUAAUGAGAGUUAGAGUCCCCCCAUUUCCU